rnacentral:rRNA from 1 species
AUGCGUAGGUGGCAAGCGUUGUCCGGAAUUACUGGGUGUAAAGGGCGUGUAGGCGGGGAUGCAAGUCAGAUGUGAAAACCCAAGGCUCAACCAUGGGAGUGCAUCUGAAACUGUGUUUCUUGAGUGCUGGAGAGGAAAGCGGAAUUCCUAGUGUAGCGGUGAAAUGCGUAGAGAUUAGGAGGAACACCAGUGGCGAAGGCGGCUUUCUGGACAGUAACUGACGCUGAGGCGCGAAAGCGUGGGGAGCAAACAGGAUUAGAUACCCUGGUAGUCCACGCCGUAAACGAUGGAUACUAGGUGUAGGAGGUAUCGACCCCUUCUGUGCCGGAGUAAACACAAUAAGUAUCCCACCUGGGGAGUACGAUCGCAAGGUUGAA